rnacentral:rRNA from 1 species
AGUGAACGCUGGCGGUAGGCCUAACACAUGCAAGUCGAACGGCAGCACAGUAAGAGCUUGCUCUUACGGGUGGCGAGUGGCGGACGGGUGAGGAAUACAUCGGAAUCUACUUUUUCGUGGGGGAUAACGUAGGGAAACUUACGCUAAUACCGCAUACGACCUACGGGUGAAAGCAGGGGAUCUUCGGACCUUGCGCGAUUGAAUGAGCCGAUGUAGGAUUAGCUAGUUGGCGGGGUAAAGGCCCACCAAGGCGACGAUCCGUAGCUGGUCUGAGAGGAUGAUCAGCCACACUGGAACUGAGACACGGUCCAGACUCCUACGGGAGGCAGCAGUGGGGAACAUUGGACAAUGGGCGCAAGCCUGAUCCAGCCAUACCGCGUGGGUGAAGAAGGCCUUCGGGUUGUAAAGCCCUUUUGUUGGGAAAGAAAAGCAGCAGGUUAAUACCCCGCUGUUCUGACGGUACCCAAAGAAUAAGCACCGGCUAACUUCGUG